AGAGUUUGAUCCUGGCUCAGGAUGAACGCUGGCGGCGUGCUUAACACAUGCAAGUCGAACGAACCUUCGGGUUAGUGGCGGACGGGUGAGUAACGCGUGAGAAUCUGCCCUCAGGAGGGGGACAACAGCUGGAAACGGCUGCUAAUACCCCAUAUGCCGAGAGGUGAAAUGAAUUUCGCCUGAGGAUGAGCUCGCGUCUGAUUAGCUAGUUGGUGAGGUAAGGGCUCACCAAGGCAUCGAUCAGUAGCUGGUCUGAGAGGAUGAUCAGCCACACUGGGACUGAGACACGGCCCAGACUCCUACGGGAGGCAGCAGUGGGGAAUUUUCCGCAAUGGGCGAAAGCCUGACGGAGCAACGCCGCGUGAGGGAUGAAGGCCUCUGGGCUGUAAACCUCUUUUCUCAAGGAAGAAGAUCUGACGGUACUUGAGGAAUAAGCCACGGCUAAUUCCGUGCCAGCAGCCGCGGUAAUACGGGAGUGGCAAGCGUUAUCCGGAAUUAUUGGGCGUAAAGCGUCCGCAGGCGGCCCAUCAAGUCUGCUGUUAAAAAGUGGAGCUUAACUCCAUCAUGGCAGUGGAAACUGUUGGGCUAGAGUGUGGUAGGGGCAGACGGAAUUCCCGGUGUAGCGGUGAAAUGCGUAGAUAUCGGGAAGAACACCAGUGGCGAAGGCGCUCUGCUGGGCCAUAACUGACGCUCAUGGACGAAAGCCAGGGGAGCGAAAGGGAUUAGAUACCCCUGUAGUCCUGGCCGUAAACGAUGAACACUAGGUGUCGGGGGAAUCGACCCCCUCGGUGUCGUAGCCAACGCGUUAAGUGUUCCGCCUGGGGAGUACGCACGCAAGUGUGAAACUCAAAGGAAUUGACGGGGGCCCGCACAAGCGGUGGAGUAUGUGGUUUAAUUCGAUGCAACGCGAAGAACCUUACCAGGGUUUGACAUCCUGCGAAUUUCUGGGAAACCGGAAAGUGCCUUCGGGAGCGCAGUGACAGGUGGUGCAUGGCUGUCGUCAGCUCGUGUCGUGAGAUGUUGGGUUAAGUCCCGCAACGAGCGCAACCCACGUCUUUAGUUGCCAGCAUUCAGUUGGGCACUCUAGAGAGACCGCCGGUGAUAAACCGGAGGAAGGUGUGGAUGACGUCAAGUCAUCAUGCCCCUUACAUCCUGGGCUACACACGUACUACAAUGCUACGGACAAAGGGCAGCAAACUCGCGAGAGCUAGCAAAUCCCAUAAACCGUGGCUCAGUUCAGAUCGUAGGCUGCAACUCGCCUACGUGAAGGAGGAAUCGCUAGUAAUCGCAGGUCAGCAUACUGCGGUGAAUACGUUCCCGGGCCUUGUACACACCGCCCGUCACACCAUGGAAGUUGGCCACGCCCGAAGCCGUUACUCCAACCCUUGUGGAGGAGGACGUCGAAGGUGGGGCUGAUGACUGGGGUGAAGUCGUAACAAGGUAACC
rnacentral:rRNA from 1 species